GAAUAAGCACCGGCUAACUACGUGCCAGCAGCCGCGGUAAUACGUAGGGUGCAAGCGUUAAUCGGAAUUACUGGGCGUAAAGCGUGCGCAGGCGGUUUUGUAAGACAGAGGUGAAAUCCCCGGGCUCAACCUGGGAACUGCCUUUGUGACUGCAAGGCUGGAGUACGGCAGAGGGGGAUGGAAUUCCGCGUGUAGCAGUGAAAUGCGUAGAUUUGCGGAGGAACACCGAUGGCGAAGGCAAUCCCCUGGGCCUGUACUGACGCUCAUGCACGAAAGCGUGGGGAGCAAACAGGAUUAGAUACCCUGGUAGUCCACGCCCUAAACGAUGUCAACUGGUUGUUGGGUCUUCACUGACUCAUUAACGAAGCUAACGCGUGAAGUUGACCGCCUGGGGAGUACGGCCGCAAGGUUGAAACUCAAAUGAAUUGAC
rnacentral:rRNA from 1 species